rnacentral:lncRNA from 1 species
CCCAGCCCCUCCUUAUCGACGAGGUGCACGCGUCGCCACCUCAGGGGAAAACCUGGGAUCUGAGGGAGGCAGAGGGAAAACUCCCAGUCCUGGCAUCCCUGCCAGCCUGGGAGCUGUUGGGAGGGUUGGAGUGACGGGCAUGGAUGGCAGGAUUUGCUUUUCUUUCCUGGAGCAAAACGCAGAUCCCAGCCUGGAGCAGAUUCCAUGGAGGAGGCGGCCAAGCCUGGGAGAAUCCCGGUGCCAGGGAGGCUGCAGCUGCUUUGGAGAGGUAAAUCCCUUCCCAAAUAACUCUGGAACAGGGUGGGAUGGGGGAUGAGGAAUUCCCACCCCCUUUUUUCUGGAACUCACUGAUUUCCCUGUGCUGGAGAACCAGAACCCCUUCCCCAACCCCCUUUGAAUUCCUCAGGAGCUGCCAAGCCCAGGAGAGAACAAUUCCAUGCUGGGAUGAUGGAGAGGCAGGAAAACUCUUCCAGUACCAUGAGUGAGGGGUGGGAAUUCACAUCCCGGAUGAGGUGGAAACCUCAAAACUCUCAAACAAAUGGAGCAGGAGGAGCUGGACCAUGUUGGGCUCGGAUUUAUCCAGCCCCGGAUCCCAGAAGGGUGGAUAACCCAAGGCUCUGGAGCAGCCCCUGACCCUGUCCACAUGAGUAAUUCCAUGGAUUUCAUCGUCUGAUGCAUCGGAAAUAACGAUCUGGGAAUCGAUAAACGCUCAUAAUUAUACCCCACAAACACAAUGAGCUCAUCCCUAAACACCAAGAAAACUCCUCCAGAACCCGCUCCAGGUUUUUCUUCUUUUCAGUCUGCUGCAGGAUUUGAGCUCCAGCAGCUGAAUGGAUGCAGCUGCAAUCAGCCUGCGGUGAAUGAUGCUCCAAAUUGCAGCUCCCGGGAUGCCGGGGGGGAGAGAGAGGAGCCGGGAGCAGAACUUUUUCGGCUUUUCGCUUCGCCAGCAGGACAAGCUGAGAAGUUUCAUCCUCUCCAAGCCUCACCCUGGAGCUGUGAAUCCUUUUCUUUGGCCAAGCUGGGAAUGCCAAGGCCGAGGGAGAUUUUGGGGAGCCUUUUCAACUUUUCCUUGGCAUUUCUUCGCUGCCAAACUCCUCCAAUCUGGACAGAAGCAGCGGAGAGCGUGAAUUAA